CUUAUUUUUUAAAACUGUCAAAUAGCUUUGAGUUCCAGGGAGAAAUGGUCACUGUACUUAACUGUACACACUUUUACUUAUAAAGUCGUUUUUCCCCCUCAGUGAUGGACAGAUGUGCACACAGCCACUCAGAGACCAUCAUUUGGUUUGGGAGCUCAGGGUCCCAAUCUCCCUUGUUAGUGUUUUGGAUCAUUAAGUCGGUGUUUAUUUAAGUCACUAGGGUGUUUAUUCUCCCUGUCUUGGGCCACGGAGAAAUGCCACCCUCUGCAGGAGGGGCUCUCACAGGGAAUCUCCUCACAUUCUUCACAUUCACUCCCCAAAACAAACACCCUGCACAAAGAUAGCUUUCAAUGACCCUGACAGGCUUCAAAGGAGCAAGAGCGCUGGUCCUGUAAAAGCCCCCGUGAUUACUGCUUGUAAACUUGUUAAAAGGACAAUUUUCUGUCACAGUCAUAAACUCUUUGUAAAACCCCUGGCACUAAAUCCAGAGCGCGCAUAUUCCAGAUGUGUUUAAUAAGAAAUUGCACAAUGUGCCUCCUUCCGCCAUCCUCGGCUCAGUCUGGGUAAAAGGGGCGAGCAGGAGGAGGCGAGAAAGCUGGAUAUUGCUUUGAGUUUUUUUGGCAAUCAUUUCAGAGAGAUCAUUAGGGGAAACUAACCAUAUUUUUUUCUUCCCUCGAGGAAAUCUUCGAGAACCAGCUGUUAAGGGACCUCCAGUUUACCUUCUGGGCGUCGCAGUUUAACUGAAUCUAAAGCCACUUUUCGUUUCUCCUCUACAGAUGUCAUAACGGUAGCCAAAAGUAAUGAACAACGGCUUAUAAAUAGUUUGUAGGACGAUUUGUAUUGUAAUAUUUAAUAAGUAGCCAUUAAACAGUAUCUACAAAAACAACGCCAGUAUGCUGAACUUUCUUAGUUCAACUAAGGCAAGAAGUAAUUUUUUUAAAAAAAACUGUUAGGAUUAAGUUAGAAUUGAAAUGAAUGGGGAGAUUUCAAAAGCAUUUGGAUUUUCUAACACAGAAGCCAACAUGGAUGCUCAACAUGAUUGACUUAGGGAAGAGGCUGGGGGAAGCAAAACACUAAUUUACAGAAAUUUCUUAGAAAUUCCUGUUGGAGUAGAGAUUUUCUGUUUUAGUAGGAUCAAGCCCAACUGCAUUGACACCCAGCCAAGAAGGAGAUGUUGAAAUCUACCUGAGUUCAGGGACCACACCUGGGGCUCCAUCCAGUAGUAGGACCAGGUAACAUGAGAAUGCCUCAUUCUCU
rnacentral:lncRNA from 1 species